CAGCCGUAAACUAUGCGCGUUAGGUGUAUCGGUGACCACGAGUCACCGAGGUGCCGAAGGGAAACCGUGAAACGUGCCGCCUGGGAAGUACGGUCGCAAGGCUGAAACUUAAAGGAAUUGGCGGGGGGAGCACCACAACAGGUGGAGCCUGCGGUUUAAUUGGACUCAACGCCGGGAAGCUCACCGGAUAGGACAGCAGAAUGAUUGCCGGGCUGAAGACUCUGCAUGACUAGCUGAGAGGUGGUGCAUGGCGUCAGUGACU
rnacentral:rRNA from 1 species